AGUUUCUUAAUACAAAAUACAUUUCAUUCUAUUUCUUUUCAAUCAAUACUUUUAGGUUUAAGUUUACCGUAGGUGUUAACACAUACCAUCAGCGUUUGCUGCAGAGGCUCUCCCUUGUGUUCAGGCGAUUCAGUUCGGGGCAGAGUUAGGUUUCUUAAGAAGUGACAUUGAAGGUGAUGCUUUGUCAGUUAUCAAGAAGAUUCAAAGUGAGGAAGAUGACAGAUCUGAAAUUAGGGCUUACACUUUAGAUGCUAAAAGACUAAAAAGUUACUUCAUUUCUUGUUGAUUUAGACAUGCAUGGAGACAAAUGAACAAAGUGGCACAUCUAUUAGCAAAAGAAGGACUCGGUAUGGAAGAAUAUGCUUAUCUGAGGAACGACCUUCCCAAAUCUGUUGCCCAGGCUGGUGAGGAAAAUAGACGCGAUGGAAGAAGUGCACAACUGAUGAGUUCAAGUUGGAACCAAGGAAUCAUCGACCAUGUGAUAGGAAAAUGUUAAAAUGGAAUGCUCAUGUAAUGUGUUUUGACGAUUGGGGAAAAGGAAAGUUAGACAGUGAAGAUAUUUUGGUUCAGCUUGCUCAAACAUCAGAGCAACUAAUUAGCGAGUAAAAUCGCUCUUUGAAGGGAUAUCUAAGUCAUAGGUGUUUUCUUGGUUUUUGUUGAUGAGUCUCUCUGGAAAUGAAAUGCCAAAGAUGGAAGAAGAAGAAGAAGAAGAGGAAGAAAGGGAUUCGUCAAUGAAAGAUGAAUGGUUGUUGAUUGAUUUUUAGGGGUUUGUUAGGAAAUUUGAUUGUUUUAGGGGUUUUGUUUUUA
rnacentral:lncRNA from 1 species